GAGAGUCCGGCCGAAAUUUGCCGGCCAUUUUCCGACCGACUUCAACGAUUCCAAGCCAAAUGAAGUUGUGGAUGUGAUUAGUGUGCAAAUGGAUGUGGAUGUGAUUAGCACGAAGGUUGUAAUGUCUCUCGUUUGUUGUCAUUGGCCCGAGGGCAGGGAAGUUUGAUAUUGGCCAUAGUCGCCCCCCUCCAUCGCCCUGGAUGACGGUUUAAGCAGCGGCGCGAUAGGACGCCACGCGACCGUAUGCCAGUUUUUCUCUUUAACCUUCCCGUCAGAUGAUGCUUUGGGACACUGGGCACCAUAGGACACCACUGGGACAGCGAUCCAAUGUGGUCUAUGAAGAACUAGCCUCGUAUUUAUGUUACCUACGAGUCCAAGAGAUUGAACGGCCAAUCUAGGUAACCAUUCCGGACUGUAUUGAUAGUAGGGUACUGGCGACAUCUGGAAUUAUGGAUUGCGCAACAUGUUGGAGGGUAUCGUUUGUACCCCUGAUACAAGUGUAUAUUUGAUAAUAAAUUUUUUUGAAUUUUAAAUUAUUAUUUGAUUUCGUAUUAUUCUA